rnacentral:rRNA from 1 species
AAAACAAAAUAAAUAAAAAUAUAAUAACCAAAACAUUUGCCAUUCUUAGUAUAGGUGAUAGAAAAGAAAAUUGGAGUGAUAAAUCUAGUACCGCAAGGGAAAACUGAAAUAGUAAUGAAAAAAUUAAUAAAUGUAAUAAAAAGCAAAGAUUACACCUUGUACCUUUUGCAUCAUGGUCUAGCCAGUCAAAUCAGACAAAGUGAACUUAAGCCUGCCUCCCCGAAACUAGACGAGCUACUCCGAGACAGCAAACUCGUGCCAACCCUUCUCUGUAGCAAAAGAGUGGGAAGAUCUCUGAGUAGAGGUGAUAAACCUACCGAGCCUAGUGAUAGCUGGUUAGUCAGGAAAAGAAUUUUAGUUCUACAUUAAUUUCUCUUCAAUUAUUUUUAAACCAUUAACACAAAAUACAAGAAGAAAUUAAUAGUUAUUCAAAAGAGGUACAACUCUUUUGAAAAAGGACACAACCUUAAUAAAGCUGGAUAAAGAUUAUAUUAACCAAGGAAUUUAUUCAUGUGGGCCUAGAAGCAGCCAUCUUAAUAGAAAGCGUUAUAGCUCUAAUAAAUCUCUAACCUAUUAUAAAAAUAAUAAUCCUUAAUCCUCUCUUAAUACUGACUUAUUUUAUUUUAUAAAAGAAUUUAUGCUAGAAUGAGUAACAAGAAAAAGAUUUUCUCCCACUUACCCGUGUAAGUCAGAAAGAACAAAUCACUGAUAAUUAACGAACCCAAACUGAGGGUAUUACCCACCCACAAGACAAACAAGAAAAACAAGUAAUCUUAUAUCGUUAUUCCUACACAGGUGUAAACAAGGAAAGAUUAAAAAAGAAGGAAGGAACUCGGCAAACACAAAUUCCGCCUGUUUACCAAAAACAUCGCCUUCUGAAUAUUAUAGGAGGUCACGCCUGCCCUGUGACAUUAGUUCAACGGCCGCGGUAUCCUGACCGUGCGAAGGUAGCGUAAUCACUUGUCUUUUAAAUGAAGACCUGUAUGAAAGGCACCACGAGAUUUUACCUGUCUCCCUUCUUCAAUCAAUGAAAUUGAUCUAUCCGUGCAGAAGCGGGUAUAAAAACAUAAGACGAGAAGACCCUAUGGAGCUUAAAAUGAUAUAUCAAUAAACAUAUUUAUAACCCUCAGGGGAUAAGCAAUCAACUUAGCAUGAUAAAAUUAUUUUUGGUUGGGGCAACCACGGAGAAUAAAAUAACCUCCGUAUCGAUUGGGUAAUAUUUUACCUAAAAACUAGAAUUACAAUUCUAUUUAAUAAAACAUUUAACGAACAAUGACCCAGAAACUUCUGAUCAAUGAACCAAGUUACCCUAGGGAUAACAGCGCAAUCCUUUUCCAGAGUCCAUAUCGACGAAAGGGUUUACGACCUCGAUGUUGGAUCAGGACAUCCUAAUGGUGCAGCUGCUAUUAAGGGUUCGUUUGUUCAACGAUUAAUAGUCCUACGUGAUCUGAGUUCAGACCGGAGAAAUCCAGGUCAGUUUCUAUCUAUGUAGUCGUUUCUCCUAGUACGAAAGGACCGGAGAAACAGAGCCUCUGUUAUUAACAUGCUCUAUCUCAACCCUCUGCUAUCCACUAAAAAGGAUAAAGAGAGGCCCCAACAACCCUAAAAUAGGGU